rnacentral:lncRNA from 1 species
GCCGGAGCAGCGGCACACGCCAUUGAGGUGCUGAGGAGCUGCCCCAUGCCCAAGGAGAGGACGACGGUGAUGCCCACCCUACAACUCAUCGCCUUCAUCCUCUGCCUCACCACCUGCGUCCUGUGGGGUCAAGGUAGGGACAUCUCCCAUGCUGGUGUUGGGCUGGGCAUUUCUGGGGCUGGGGCCAUUCUGGGCUCCCUGGGCUGGAGCCGAGGAGCAGGGUGCCAUAUGCUGAGGCUCAGCUACUGAAACAGCUUCAUCAGAGCAGAGAGUGAUGGAGAAUGACAUGGAAGAGUUGCUGCAGCAGGGCUGUGGCAGCAGCCCCCGCGCCAGGGAGAGGUGAGCACCAGCUCCCG